UCCUAACUGAGUUUACAUCGGCUUCAAAUCUGCCUCUACUUGGUGCGAAUAAAUCUCUCAGGCGAUCAUCCCUGAACAUAAUUUCUUCUUGCCUCUCGUCUCGUCUAUAACCUCUUCCGGCCUCUUGUCUUGUAAGUUCGGUUAAUAUAUAUUUUUAAGCAAAAUAAAUUUGUUCUUCCUCUGUUUAUGCAAUAUUUGGGCAUGGGUUUAAAUGUGUGGGCAAUGUGUUUGACUUAAUGACAUUAAGAAGAGUCGUUUAUUAUGUAUGGUUUGAAUGUGAUUUAAAUGUAUGGUAAUGGUAUGGAGUUUGAUUUUAGCGAUUAUAGGUUAGUGUUUUGAUUGCUUGUAAUGUGAGAACCUUUGUUGCCAUUUCUCUGCUGUCUCUUUCCUAGAGAACCUUUGUUGCUGCUUAGAAUAAUAUAGGUAGAACCUUUGCCUUUCAAUUCAUUUCAAGACAGGAAAGAGAAGUGUCAAUGGUUAUAUAUUUUUUUAAAGAUCUUUAUAAUUGAAUGAUGUUUUUUGUAGGAUUAGAACAACACCAUAGCAGGGUCUGUUGAACAAAAUUAUUCAAUUGGGAUUCAAGACUGUUUUCAUUUUGACUUAGUCAUGUUGAGAUUCUUAGAUGCUUGAUUUCUUGUGAAGAUCCAAGAGCAUUUGUGACUAAUAUCAAGUGUGAGAGCUAAAAAGUGCAAAGCAUUGAUCUAGAAGUCUACAAGUAGAAUUGAAGGAAGGUUCUGUAGUUUAGUUUCUCGGAUAAUUAAUGGGAAGUAGAGGAUGGAAUUAAAGUUAUUUAAGAACUAAUUUUUUCUUUCUUUCUUUCUUUUUUUUUUUUUUUUUUUUUUUUUUUUUUUUUUUUUUUUUUUUUUUAAACUUGGCACGAGACUAAAAUGAUUCAUGUUGCAAUGCCCUUGUGAAUUUCAUUUUGGUAUAUGUUUGUCUUAAUUGUUUGUGAGGUGACCUUUUCUUUUCCCUCCAGUAUUUACUGAUGCAAAGUCACUGUAUUUGAAGGGGUCCCAGCUCUUUGUGCAACUACUUUGAUCUCCUUUCUUAUUUGGUUUUCUGAAUUAUCAGUUUGAUGUUGGGAGAUAUAACUGUUGUUACGAUAAACAUGGGGAGAAAAAGUUCGAUCCUUAUGUUGAUGAUACAAAAUUGGGCAUAUUCCAAAACGAGAAAUUUUUGGAUCCUCGUGUUGAUGCAGGCUGCACAGUGAGGUAUAAUUAGGACAGCCACAUAAAAGCACCAUUCGAAGAGAAAUCAUGUCCCGAUCCCCAAAUUUAUUGAGAAAAUGGCUUUGUUUUCGCUGCAAUAAUGAAUCAGCCAUUAAAUAGAACAUAUUUACCACAAUCUGCUAAAUUAAGGUUCAGGUACUUGUCGUGUACUGACUGCACUAGGAAACAAAUAAAUGUGUCAAUCCCACUUGUAAGAGUAUGAAAUGUAAGGAAUCAAAAGCUGCAUGUUUAAAUCCAAUGCCAAUGUUGGAGAAACUGGACAAAACUCUUCUUUUCAAUUGAAUUUUCCAAGCCUUAAUUAAUCCAGUUUAUAAUUGUUAAUGUAUGAUUAAUUUGUGAUAAUGGCAUUUUUUAAUCAAAGCGAAACGAACGCUAGAAACGACAUGGCACUUUGCUUUGGAGCCUCCACAUAUCAUUCUAUCUCCAAUAGCAAAAAUCAAUUUGGUAAACCCCACUAUCAAUAUAUUAUUGAAUUUUUCUCUUUAGUUAUAAAUAUCUGACAACCAACGUUCCAAAAUCUUUUGAUUCUCAAAAUUGAUUAAAAUAAGGUGCCAUUAUUUUGUCUCUUCCUCUAUUUCCUUAUGAUUGUAUCAUUUGUCAAAGUUGUUGCUCAUAAUUUAUACGUACACAAAUGUGGUUUUUUAUAAAUGGCAUAGGCAACAUGACCACUUUAUGCCCUAGUGGAAUAUGUCAGGCCGUUUUAGUGGUGGGCCUUUUAGAAAUCUUUAAAGGUCUCAUUGUACAAAAGUUGAUGCUUUUUUCAGUUUUGAACUAUUAGGCAAGUCUUUCUUACUGUAAUACUUUUUCAAUUUUUUUUCUAAAUCAUAUUAUAACAAGUUAUAUCUUAAUAGUGUUGGUAUAGCAUCAUGGAUAAAGAUUGGGUACACCUAUCAAGGUUAUCUUAUCCCCUUAAGUUUAGAAAAUUUUUAAAUAUGUUCAUAUACACUUUUUAGAUGAUUUACUUAGUAUUUUAUUAUAGAGUUUUAGAGGCAUAUCAACAUGGUGCAAGAAAGUUUGCAAAUAUGGUGCAAGCCAAUGCAGGGAAUCCAGAAAAGGUCAUAUGCCCUUGCAAAUGUUGCAAAAAUCUAUUUUACCAACAUUUUGAUACAAUGUAUGGGCAUUUGAUCAUUCAUGGGAUGGAUCCUACUUAUACUACAUGGGUGUUUCAGGGCAAAAAAUUGAAUGCAUCAUUGCCUCCUCAAGAUGUAGAAAAUUUUGAGACAUAUAGGAUGUAUAGAGAUGUAUUUCUUCAAGAUAACAAUAACAUAGAACCUGAGAAUGAAGGUUGAAAGAAAGAAUUUUCUAAUUUAUAUGAGGGAGUUGAAAUUCCUUUAUAUACCGGUUGUACAAAGUACACAAGAAUAUCUGCAAUCGUUGUCUUAUACAAGCUUAAAACUACGCAUGGUAUAUCUCAUAAUGGUUUCAAUGAACUUCUUGAAAUAAUUCGAGACAUGCUACAACAUGGGAACACUCUUCCCGAUUCCUGUAAUUCAACGAAAAGGUUAUUGAAAACCUUUGAUUUGGGAUAUGAGAAGAUACAUGCAUGCGUAAAUGAUUGUUGCUUGUUUAGAAAGGAUCUCGGGGAUUUGGAGACAUGUCCAAAAUGUGCAUCUUCACGUUGGAAAGUUAAUGAGCGGACUAAGAAGAUUCAAAAGGGGAUACCUGCAAAAGUUUUACGAUAUUUUCCAAUUAUAUCAUGAUUUAGAAGAAUGUUUAGGUCACCUGACAAGGUAGAACAACAAAUAUGGCACUUAACUCACAAAAAUCAAGAUGGAAAAAUGCGUUAUCCAGUUGAUUCAUUAGCUUGGGAGAUAAUUGAUCAAAAGUGGCCUCAUUUUGCAUAUGAACCACGAAAUCUUAGGCUUGGCCUUUCGUCCGAUGGAUUUAAUCCUUUUGGUGACCUAAGUUCUAGAUAUAGUUGUUGGCCGGUGAUUCUAGUUAUAUAUAAUCUCCCUUCCUGGAUAUGCAUGUCCAAAGAAAAUUUAUUAUUGACUUUGUUAAUCCUAGGUCCAAAGCAACCUGGGAAUGAUAUAGAUGUAUAUCUAGAACCACUUAUAGAAGACUUAAAGGAGUUGUGGAAUAUUGGUGUUUAAAUAUAUGAUGGAUUUACCAAGUCCACCUUCAAUUUGAAGGCUAUAUUGAUGUGGAUAAUUAAUGAUUUUUUGGCUUAUGGAAACUUAUCUGGAUAUCCUACAAAGGGCGAGGCAGCAUGUCCAGUAUGUGGUUUAUCCACAUGCACAAAAUGGUUGACAUAUAGUCGAAAGUUUGCUUACAAGGGUCAUAGAAGAUUUCUUUCAUAUAAUCAUCCUUUUCGGUCGAAAGAAGCUUGGUUUGAAGGAAAUAAGGAUUAUAGGCCCAGUCCAAAAAUAUUAACUAGUCAAGAAGUGAUGUAUUCAAUAAAGAAUGUUAGCAAUGACUGGGGGAAAAAAGGGAAACAGAAAAAAUCAGAUUUCGAUUGGCCAUGGAAAAAGAAAUCAAUAUUCUUUGAUCUACCGUAUUGGGAGGUUAGUUAUUUCAAACUAUUUGAAUGUAUUUAACUUUUUGCUUAAAUUUUUGUUUCUAAAUUUAUAUUAUUAUUUUCCAGACACCACUUUUACGUCAUAAUUUGGAUGUAAUGCACAUUGAGAAGAAUGUUUGUGAGAGCAUUCUUGGCACUAUCUUGAAUGUGAAGGGAAAAUCAAAAGAUGGGCUCAAUUCUCGUAAGGAUUUGCUUAAUAUGGGUAUUAGAAAAGAUCUUCUUCCAGAGUUGAAAAUAAAUACAUAUUACCUACCUGCAGCAUCAUAGAUGCUAUCCAAAAGAGAGAGGGUUAUUUUGUGAGAGAUUAUUUGAUUUAAGAUUACCUGAUGGUUAUAGCUCUAACAUUUCAAAGUGUAUCUCAUUAGCAGAUAAUAGGAUUUUAAAUCUAAAGUCUCAUGAUUGCCACGUGCUCAUACAACAAUUGUUAUCAGUUGCAUUAAGAGGACUUUUACCUAAAGGAACGAGAAAUGCAAUUUUUUGACAAUUUGCAUUUUUUAAUGAAAUAUGCCAAAGAGUUAUUGAUAAAAAUAACUUAGAAAAGCUUGAGGAGGAUGUUGCAGUUACUCUAUGUAUGCUAGAAAGGUUUUUCCCCCCUUCUUUUUUUGACAUAAUGAUUCACUUAACCAUCCACCUUGGGCGUGAAGUUCGUAUUGGCAGACCUGUACAAUAUCGAUGGAUGUACCCAUUUGAGAGGUAACUUACCAUUAUACCUUUGUACUAAUUCAAUCUUUCUUCUUCUAAUUAUUUAGGUAUCUCAUGCCUAUUAUGUUUAAAUUAGGUUUAUAAAGACACUUAAAAGAUAUGUUAAAAAUCGCUCAAGACCUGAGGGUUGCAUAGCAGAGCGUUAUUUAGCCGAUGAAUAUAUGUAUUUUUGUAGUGGUUACAUCACACAAGCUGCUGAGAUAGGUGUUCGACAUAAUCGAAACGAGGAUUUCGAGAAUGGUACAACUAUUGCUAGACGUACAAUUUCAAAAGGAAAGUCCAAGAUCUUGAGUCAAGAAAUGUUAGACAUCGCUACAUGUUGUUUAACAGUGCCGCAGUUGAACCAUAUAUAAUGUGAUCAACUUAGUUAAUAAGUUCGUUUUAUAUCCAUUAAUAUUUUCUCGUAAACUUAUCUUACUAUUUAUUUAUUUAUUUAUUUUUAUUUAGGAUGCAUAGAGACGAGAUUAAGAAUUCAGAUAGUCGUGUUGCUAAGAAUUAAAUCUUAUUACAAAUAAGACAUAUGGAGACUUUUACUUCUUGGUUUGCAGAGAAAGGCAAAGAAGACAAUUGUAACAUGUCAAGUACAUUGAAAUGGCUUGCACGACGACCUAAAUUUGAUGUGAUGUCACAUUCUGGUUAUGUUAUCAAUGGACAUCGAUUUCACACAACCGAUGUUAGCAGAAGUACACAGAAUAGUGGUGUUUCUAUUGAGGCGCAAACUAUUUGCCGAUCUAGUGUGAAGGAUACAAGUCACGUAGUUGAUAAAAUUUCUUAUUAUGGGAUUAUAAAAGAUAUAAUUCUACUAGACUAUCAUAGUUUUAAAGUUCCUAUGUUUCAUUGUGAUUGGGCAAAUGUAGAUAGCGGAGUCAAGAUUGAAGAAGGGUUUAUGCUGGUUAAUCUUCAUAGAGGAUAACAUCAAUUUGAAAGAGAUCCAUUUAUUUUAGCAUCACAAGCAAAACAAGUUUUUUAUUCUAGAGAAAAUGAUACUUCUAGUUGGUAUAUUGUAUUGAAGGCACCUCCUUGAGGAUUUUGUGAGUCAGAAAAUAUUGAUGAGGAUGCUUGUACUCCAUCCACAUUAAAUGCAUCAUUAAGAAUUGAUAUGACUAUUGAAGAUGACAGCUAUGUGAGAUAUGACUGUGAGGGCAUUGAUAUUGAAUAUGGUAAUUGUAUAGAUUUAAGAUUUUUUCUUUCUUGCGUUAUUUUUGUUGAUAUUACAUUAAUGUUAAUGUCUCUAAUUCCAUUAUUUCUUAAUUUAUGUAUAUAGAUGCAAAUGAUGAAAUCUGAAUUUUGUGGAAACUGAUGUGCAAAUGUCCAGACAUAAUAUGUCAGAUCUUGGUGAAGUAAGUUAUGAGGUUGUAUAUAAGGGUUUAAAAUGUUUUUAUGUUAAAUUUAAGCAAAAAAAUGUGUUUUUCUUAUUUGUGCAAUGCAGUCAUCUAAUCAAGGAUACAACAAAUCAAAACGAGCUAAAAAAGCUUAAGUUGUUGCUACCACAAGAGAAGGAAAUGAAGGCAUAAGAAUAUUAGAGAGAUGUUCUAAUUCUGUGCGACAUGAUAAAGAAGUCUUGCCUAAUAGCAUCAAUACUACUGAAAAAGGAAAGAAAGGAAGGGGUCGAGCAAAGCUGAACUAUCUCAACAAGGGAAAAUGUGCAAAGUUAACUGUAGAAUUUAAUGAAAGAGGGCAACCAAUUUGUAAAGAGUCAAAUAAGUUAUCGUCAUUCCUUGGAACCACAGCUAGGGAACUUAUACCUAUUACAAAGAAAAAUUGGAAAGAUUUAAGCGAAAGUUUUCUUGAUGACAUAUGGGAGCUUGUGCAGGUGAUAUAAACUUCACAUCAUAUAUAGUUUAUAUUAAAUUAAUAUUAAUAUUAAUCUUACAUAUUUUGACGCAGCAAAGGUUUGAUAUUAACAUUUGUCAUAGAAAGUACAUUAUGCAAAAAUUGGGAAAGAGUUGGAGAGAUCAUCGAUCUAAUAUGCUGAAAACAAUCAGCGACAAAGGAAGAACAAUUGGCAUGAAAUGAGCUGCUGCUCUCCUCAAGACAGAUAACGUUGACUCAAUGGAAGAAUGGCAAGCAUUUGUCAAAGAACUCAAUUCUCAACCAUAGAAGGUUCCAUUGCUUUUAUAUACUAAAUGUGCCAUAAUGUUGUGCUUGUACUAUAAUUGUUUGAUUUUGCAGGAAAAGAAUGAUAGAUUCAAAAAGAUGAGAGCUAGUCAAACUAUGUUGCACAAUGAAUAGAAAAGGCUUUGCUUGCCUAGAAGUUGAAAUGGUAAAAUUUAUGUUACAUUAUAAGUUAAAUUUGUUAGAAAAUUUGUAAAAAUGUACAAACUAACAUAUAUACUUCUUGGUUAAAACAAAUCGCAGCGUAUUGAAAGUGAAGACCCUGAUUCCAUUAAGAGAGAUGAUAUUUAUAUUCGAGGACAUACCCGAAAAAAGGUGGAUCAAUUAAUGAAUCAGUCGGGGAAACAUUGGUAACGAUAUUGGUUUUUGAAUUUCUUUUUUGGUUAUUUAUCAGUUUAUAUUUGCAUUACUUUAAGCCAUUAAUGUAUUUCUCGUUAGCAAAAAAAUAAAAAUAAAAGCUCGUUCACCUUUCCAAGUAAACAUUCUCUCAUGGAUGAUGGUAUUGCAAGAACACUUGGUCCAGAACGUCGAGGAUGGGUAAGAGGGCUUGGCUUCGGUGCAACUCCUUCAAAGUUGAAUGCUUUGGUACAUAGCCAGAACUUGCAAACUCAAGUACAAGAGUUAAGAGAUGAAAUUAAAGAAUUAAAAACCUUGUUUCAACAGAAGAGUAAAAGUGUUGAACAAGAAAAUGUAAAUGCGAAACUAUCGUUACUAAAUGAUAUUCUAUAUUUCAUAUUCUUUUCUAUAUUCAAAUUAUUCUUUUCUAUAUUCAAAUUAACAAAUUGUACUUUCAUAUGAAUUUUACAGCAUAGUGAUAGAAGCUCGAAUGAUUUAGAUAGCCUUCAGAGUAAAAAAUGCAAAUUGUUACGCUGGUUUGGAGAAGCUGAUGUAGUUGCAAAUGGUGAAAUCAUAUCAACAAAUCCUUGUGAUCUAAUGCAUCAUGUACCUCUUGGUGAUGAAUGUUGGAGAGUUUGGGUUAAUGAAGUGAUUGACAAUGUUACCUUAUAUCGUCCCACACGUGAGCUAUUUCUUCUUGAAGAUACAUUAGGAAGUACAAUUGCAUGACCAAUCAGGUUCAUCAAAAUGGAUUAGCUGUAAGCACAAUAAAUGUAUGCUUUACUUGUUUUUUAUAUCAUUUUCCAUUACUUUAAUAUAUUAAUUAUACCCUCAUUUAUUUUGUGAUGUGCAGGGAGUUGAUUAUUUUUGGGAUAACAAAAUUGUUGAUCAAAUUAAUCAAAAUCGAUGUGGAUCAAUUAUUUUGUACUAUUUUGAUUACUUGUUUUUGGAGUAGUAGUUCAUACUUUU
rnacentral:lncRNA from 1 species